UACGUAGGGUGCGAGCGUUAAUCGGAAUUAUUGGGCGUAAAGCGCGCGCAGGCGGUCCUUUAAGUCUGAUGUGAAAGCCCACGGCUCAACCUCGAGACGCCGGUGGAAACCAUCAGGCUAGAGUCCGGAAGAGGAGAGUGGAAUUCCUGGUGUAGCGGUGAAAUGCGCAGAUAUCAGGAAGAACACCCGUGGCUAAGGCGGCUCUCUAGUACGGUACUGACGCUGAGACGCGAAAGCGUGGGGAGCGAACAGG
rnacentral:rRNA from 1 species